rnacentral:rRNA from 1 species
GAUGAAUGCUGGCGGCGUGCCUAACACAUGCAAGUCGAGCGGCAGCGCGGGGUGCUUGCACCCUGUCGGCGAGCGGCGAACGGCUGAGCAACGCGUAGGAAUUUGCCCCAAAGUGAGGAAUAACUGCCCGAAAGGGUAGCUAAUGCCGCAUAUGGUCUUCGGAUUAAAGGAUUUAUCCGCUUUGGGAGAAGCCUGCGUUGGAUUAGGUUGUUGGUAGGGUAAUGGCCUACCAAGCCGACGAUCCAUAGCUGGUCUGAGAGGAUGAUCAGCCAGACUGGAACUGAGACACGGUCCAGACUCCUACGGGAGGCAGCAGUGAGGAAUCUUCCACAAUGGGCGAAAGCCUGAUGGAGCAACGCCGCGUGAAGGAUGAAGGCCUUCGGGUUGUAAACUUCUUUUAUGAGUGAAGAAUAUGACGGUAACUCAUGAAUAAGCACCGGCUAACUACGUG